GACUGUUGGCGAGGAAUGCUCUGCCUUCACACGGCAGGGGUCGCUGGUUCAAAUCCAGCCGCACCCGCCA
rnacentral:tRNA from 1 species